GAUGAACGCUGGCGGCGUGCCUAAUACAUGCAAGUCGAGCGAACGGACGAGAAGCUUGCUUCUCUGAUGUUAGCGGCGGACGGGUGAGUAACACGUGGAUAACCUACCUAUAAGACUGGGAUAACUUCGGGAAACCGUAGCUAAUACCGGAUAAUAUUUUGAACCGCAUGGUUCAAAAGUGAAAGACGGUCUUGCUGUCACUUAUAGAUGGAUCCGCGCUGCAUUAGCUAGUUGGUAAGGUAACGGCUUACCAAGGCAACGAUGCAUAGCCGACCUGAGAGGGUGAUCGGCCACACUGGAACUGAGACACGGUCCAGACUCCUACGGGAGGCAGCAGUAGGGAAUCUUCCGCAAUGGGCGAAAGCCUGACGGAGCAACGCCGCGUGAGUGAUGAAGGUCUUCGGAUCGUAAAACUCUGUUAUUAGGGAAGAACAUAUGUGUAAGUAACUGUGCACAUCUUGACGGUACCUAAUCAGAAAGCCGCGGCUAACUACGUG
rnacentral:rRNA from 1 species